GAGUUUGAUUCUGGCUCAGAACGAACGCUGGCGGCACGCCUAAUACAUGCAAGUCGAGCGCACCUUCGGGUGAGCGGCGGACGGGUGAGUAACGCGUGGGAACGUACCCUUCUCUACGGAAUAGCCUCGGGAAACUGAGAGUAAUAACGUAUACGCCCUUCGGGGGAAAGAUUUAUCGGAGUUGGAUCGGCCCGCGUUAGAUUAGUUAGUUGGUGGGGUAACGGCCUACCAAGACGACGAUCUAUAGCUGGUUUGAGAGGAUGAUCAGCCACACUGGGACUGAGACACGGCCCAGACUCCUACGGGAGGCAGCAGUAGGGAAUCUUAGACAAUGGGGGAAACCCUGAUCUAGCGAUGCCGCGUGUGUGACGAAGGCCCUAGGGUCGUAAAGCACUUUCGCCAGGGAUGAUAAUGACAGUACCUGGUAAAGAAACCCCGGCUAACUCCGUGCCAGCAGCCGCGGUAAUACGGAGGGGGUUAGCGUUGUUCGGAAUUACUGGGCGUAAAGCGCACGUAGGCGGACUGGAAAGUUGGGGGUGAAAUCCCGGGGCUCAACCCCGGAACUGCCUUCAAAACUAUCAGUCUAGAGUUCGAGAGAGGUGAGUGGAAUUUCCGAGUGUAGAGUGAAAUUCGUAGAUAUUCGGAGGAACCACCAGUGGCGAUGCGGCUCACUGGCUCGAUACUGACGCUGAGUGCGAAGCGUGGGGGAGCAAACAGAUAGAUACCUGUAGUCCACCGCCCGUAAACGAUGGAUUGCCAGACGUCAGGGGCCUUUGCCCCUUUGGGUGUGUCCACACCUUAAC
rnacentral:rRNA from 1 species